rnacentral:tRNA from 1 species
GCGGGGGGUAUGUGACUCUGGUGUGCACCACGGCCUUCAAAGCCGAUUGGAGGGGCAGUUGACUGUCUCUUGGUAAGUUCGAUUCUUACACCCUCUCGCCA